UUUUCACCUUGGGCGCCUGUCCUGACUUGCAGAACAAGCACACCAUUUUUGGGAAGGUGGUUGGCGAAACGCUGUACAACAUGCUGCGUCUUGAGGAAGGCCUGGUAGACUCGGAAGACCGGCCACUGCAUCCACACAGAAUUGUCUCCACACAGGUUCUGGUAAACCCUUUUGAUGACAUCAUUCCCCGCAAGGUGUCGAAGAACUCGGCUGCAGAGCAGCAACCUGCACCGACUUUGUCCACGUCUGUAGCAACCAGGCAAGUGCCUGCCUCUUU